rnacentral:rRNA from 1 species
UACGAAGGGGGCUAGCGUUGUUCGGAGUUACUGGGCGUAAAGGGCGCGUAGGCGGCGCAUCAAGUCAGGCGUGAAAGCCCUGGGCUCAACCCGGGAAUUGCGCUUGAGACUGGUGUGCUUGAGUACGGGAGAGGAUAGUGGAAUUCCCAGUGUAGAGGUGAAAUUCGUAGAUAUUGGGAAGAACACCGGUGGCGAAGGCGGCUCACUGGCCCGUAACUGACGCUCAUGCACGACAGCGUGGGGAUCAAACAGG